rnacentral:rRNA from 1 species
GAAUAUUGGUCAAUGGACGCAAGUCUGAACCAGCCAUGCCGCGUGCAGGAUGAAUGCCCUCUGGGUUGUAAACUGCUUUUAUCAGGGAAUAAACCUCUUUACGUGUAGAGAGCUGAAGGUACUUGAUGAAUAAGCACCGGCUAACUCCGUGCCAGCAGCCGCGGUAAUACGGAGGGUGCAAGCGUUAUCCGGAAUCAUUGGGUUUAAAGGGUCCGCAGGCGGAUUUAUAAGUCAGUGGUGAAAUCUCUCGGCUCAACCGAGAAACUGCCAUUGAUACUGUAAGUCUUGAAUUCGGUCGAAGUGGGCGGAAUAUGACAUGUAGCGGUGAAAUGCAUAGAUAUGUCAUAGAACACCGAUGGCGAAGGCAGCUCACUAGGCCUGGAUUGACGCUCAGGGACGAAAGCGUGGGGAGCAAACAG